CUUGCUUCUCUUGAGGAGCGGCGGACGGGUGAGUAAUGCCUAGGAAUCUGCCUGGUAGUGGGGGAUAACGUUCGGAAACGGACGCUAAUACCGCAUACGUCCUACGGGAGAAAGCAGGGGACCUUCGGGCCUUGCGCUAUCAGAUGAGCCUAGGUCGGAUUAGCUAGUUGGUGGGGUAAUGGCUCACCAAGGCUACGAUCCGUAACUGGUCUGAGAGGAUGAUCAGUCACACUGGAACUGAGACACGGUCCAGACUCCUACGGGAGGCAGCAGUGGGGAAUAUUGGACAAUGGGCGAAAGCCUGAUCCAGCCAUGCCGCGUGUGUGAAGAAGGUCUUCGGAUUGUAAAGCACUUUAAGUUGGGAGGAAGGGUUGUAGAUUAAUACUCUGCAAUUUUGACGUUACCGACAGAAUAAGCACCGGCUAACUCUGUGCCAGCAGCCGCGGUAAUACAGAGGGUGCAAGCGUUAAUCGGAAUUACUGGGCGUAAAGCGCGCGUAGGUGGUUUGUUAAGUUGGAUGUGAAAUCCCCGGGCUCAACCUGGGAACUGCAUUC
rnacentral:rRNA from 1 species